rnacentral:tRNA from 1 species
GUCAGGAUGGCCGAGCGGUCUAAGGCGCCAGACUCAAGGACAUAAUCGCUUCAAUAAAAUAAGUUGCAGUAUUCUGGUCUUCAAUGAAGGCGUGGGUUCAAAUCCCACUCCUGACA